AACGAACGCUGGCGGCAUGCCUAACACAUGCAAGUCGAACGGGAUCCUAGCUUGCUAGGUGAGAGUGGCGGACGGGUGAGUAACACGUGGGAAUCUGCCUUUUGGUUCGGGAUAACCGCGGGAAACUGCGGCUAAUACCGAAUGCCCUCGAGAGAGGAAAGAUUUAUCGCCAGAAGAGGAGCCCGCGUCCGAUUAGGUAGUUGGUGGGGUAAAGGCCUACCAAGCCGACGAUCGGUAGCUGGUCUGAGAGGAUGAUCAGCCACACUGGGACUGAGAUACGGCCCAGACUCCUACGGGAGGCAGCAGUGGGGAAUAUUGGACAAUGGGGGCAACCCUGAUCCAGCAAUGCCGCGUGAGUGAUGAAGGCCUUAGGGUUGUAAAGCUCUUUUGCCAGGGAAGAUGAUGACUGUACCUGGAGAAUAAGCCCGGCUAACUUCGUGCCAGCAGCCACGGUAAU
rnacentral:rRNA from 1 species